GUGGUUGUGGCUCAGUGGUGGAGUGCUUGCCUAGCAUGUGGGAGGCACUGGGUUCGAUUCUCAGCACCACA
rnacentral:tRNA from 1 species